GCUCAGGUAGCUCAGUCGGUAGAGCAGGGGACUGAAAAUCCCCGUGUCGGCGGUUCAAUUCCGUCCCUGAGCACCA
rnacentral:tRNA from 28 species